rnacentral:rRNA from 1 species
CCUACGGGUGGCAGCAGUGGGGAAUAUUGCGCAAUGGGGGCAACCCUGACGCAGCAAUACCGCGUGAGUGAAGAAGGUUUUCGGAUCGUAAAGCUCUGUUAUUGGGGAAGAAAAAAGACGGUACCCAAGAAGAAAGUCCCGGCUAACUACGUGCCCGCAGCCGCGGUAAUACGUAGGGGACAAGCGUUGUCCGGAUUUACUGGGCGUAAAGGGCACGCAGGCGGUUUUUUAAGUCAGAUGUGAAAGGUACCGGCUCAACCGGUGACAUGCAUUUGAAACUGAAAGACUUGAGUAUUGGAGAGGCAAGUGGAAUUCCUAGUGUAGCGGUGAAAUGCGUAGAUAUUAGGAGGAACACCGGUGGCGAAGGCGGCUUGCUGGACAAAUACUGACGCUGAGGUGCGAAAGCGUGGGGAGCAAACAGGAUUAGAUACCCGGGUAGUC